UACGUAGGGUGCAAGCGUUAAUCGGAAUUACUGGGCGUAAAGCGCACGUAGGUGGUUUGCUAAGUCAGCUGUGAAAUCCCCGGGCUCAACCUGGGCACUGCAGUUGAAACUGGCAAGCUAGAGUAGGGUAGAGGGGUGUGGAAUUCCAGGUGUAGCGGUGAAAUGCGUAGAUAUCUGGAGGAACAUCAGUGGCGAAGGCGACACCCUGGACUCAUACUGACACUGAGGUGCGAAAGCGUGGGGAGCAAACAGG
rnacentral:rRNA from 1 species